rnacentral:rRNA from 1 species
UGGGGAAUAUUGCACAAUGGGGGAAACCCUGAUGCAGCGACGCCGCGUGAACGAAGAAGGCAUUCGUAUCGUAAAGUUCUGUCCUAUGGGAAGAUAAUGACAGUACCAUAGAAGAAAGCUCCGGCUAAAUACGUGCCAGCAGCCGCGGUAAUACGUAUGGAGCGAGCGUUGUCCGGAAUUAUUGGGCGUAAAGGGUACGCAGGCGGUUUAAUAAGUCGAAUGUUAAAGAUCGGGGCUCAACCCCGCAAAGCAUUGGAAACUGAUAAACUUGAGUAGUGGAGAGGAAAGUGGAAUUCCUAGGGUAGUGGUGAAAUACGUAGAUAUUAGGAGGAAUACCAGUAGCGAAGGCGACUUUCUGGACACAAACUGACGCUGAGGUACGAAAGCGUGGGGAGCAAACAGG